CUUCUGUUAGGCUAGCAACUAAAUUAUACUCAAAUAUAAAAGAGCGCUUACAUCAGACCAUAGUCACUUUUUAUUUUUACGACUGGUAACAGGACACACGUUCGUUUACUUUCUCACUAAUAUGCUGUGUUCAAAGAUGGUGUUAAAAAUGGUUAUUUCAGUGCUGUUACUCAUACUCAAUGCGAUACAGAAGACGACUUCCCAAAUAUUUAGGGGCCCAAUACAGCCGUGCAUGGUGUGCACUUUGGAAUACGAUCCAGUGUGUGGAUCCGAUGGACUUAUAUAUGAAAGCCGCUGCUGUAUGCUGUGUCGCAACCCAAGGCUUAAGAUAGCACAUGCGAGCGUUUGUGGUAAGGACAGUGACGACUAUAUAUCCAGUGAUUGCGAUUAAAUACUUCCUGAUGA